ACGGGAGGCAGCAGUGAGGAAUAUUGGACAAUGGGGGCAACCCUGAUCCAGCCAAACCGCGUGAGGGAUGAAGGUCCUACGGAUCGUAAACCUCUUUUAUGUGGGAAUAAUUAGCGGAACGUGUUCCGCUUUGAAGGUACCACUUGAAUAGGCAUCGGCUAACUCCGUGCCAGCAGCCGCGGUAAUACGGAGGAUGCAGGCGUUAUCCGGAUUUAUUAGGUUUAAAGGGUGCGCAGGCGGGACAUUAAGUCGGUGGUGAAAUACCGUGGCCCAACCACGGGGCUGCCAUCGAUACUGAUGACCUUGAGUGCGUGUGACGUAGGCGGAAUGUGGAGUGUAGCGGUGAAAUGCUUAGAUAUUCCACAGAACACCGAUUGCGAAGGCAGCUGUCCAGAGAUCAUCUGACGCUCAGGCACGAAAGCAUGGGUAUCAAACAGGAUUAGAUACCCUGGUA
rnacentral:rRNA from 1 species